CUACGGGAGGCAGCAGUGAGGAAUAUUGCACAAUGGGGGAAACCCUGAUGCAGCAACGCCGCGUGGAGGAUGACGCAUUUCGGUGUGUAAACUCCUUUUAUGAGUCAAGAAAAUGACGGUAGCUCAUGAAUAAGCACCGGCUAACUCCGUGCCAGCAGCCGCGGUAAUACGGAGGGUGCAAGCGUUACUCGGAAUCACUGGGCGUAAAGGACGCGUAGGCGGGAUGUCAAGUCAGGUGUGAAAUCCUAUGGCUCAACCAUAGAACUGCACUUGAAACUGGCAACCUAGAGUAUGGGAGGGGGAGAUGGAAUUAGUGGUGUAGGGGUAAAAUCCGUAGAUAUCACUAGGAAUACCGAAAGCGAAGGCGAUCUCCUGGAACAUUACUGACGCUAAGGCGUGAAAGCGUGGGGAGCAAACAGGAUUAGAUACCCGCGUAGUC
rnacentral:rRNA from 1 species